UACGUAGGGCGCGAGCGUUGUCCGGAAUCAUUGGGCGUAAAGAGCUCGUAGGCGGCCGGUUGCGUCUGCUGUGAAAUCCCGGGGCUUAACCCCGGGCGUGCAGUGGAUACGGGCUGGCUGGAGGCAGGCAGGGGAGAAUGGAAUUCCCGGUGUAGCGGUGAAAUGCGCAGAUAUCGGGAGGAACACCAGUGGCGAAGGCGGCGACCUGGGCAGAUACUGACGCUGAGGUGCGAAAGCGUGGGGAGCAAACAGGAUUAGAAACCCUUGAUAC
rnacentral:rRNA from 1 species